GUUAUCCAAGCUCCAUUCCUCACAUGGAGCUCACUCUUCAGCCAUGCUAUCGACUCUGAGGAGUAUUGGCUCCUUGACUGCCCAGGGCUGCUGAGCGGGCCCAGGAGAGACCUCGUCGCAUUUGACCUUCAAUCGUGGAAACAGCCCUGGAAUGCUCCUGCUCCUGAGAAGUUGCCAAAAUGGAAUUUAUUUCAGGAACAUGCUUUCCCAGAAGAGUAUUCGGGGCUCAAGUGGCCCCCAGAGACCUCUCCUGGGUGUGGGCUGGGCAAGGCAAGCCUCCCCAGGGAGGCACAGGCAAGACAGGGCAGUGAGUAAUAGAUGUUGUAGGUGCCAAGCCAUCCCCCACGUCUUGGCAUUGUUAGUUUCCCUGGGGCUUCUUAGGCUGUUUGAAGAUACUCGGUGUCCUAGACUGUGGGUUACCCAAUCGACUUCCCAUUGUCUGAACUGGAAGGGGUGUGGAUGGCUCAGGGGAUACCAGGACAUGGUGGGUCGGCACACUGCCCAGAGUACCAGUGUAUCCACUGAGGGACCAAGUAAGAUCCUAACCUGAGGACAUUCUGCCUCCUAGUGGUGUUGAUUCCAUCCCAGCUAUACUAGAGCACUUCAAGGGGCUUCCUGACUUCUCCGGGAGUAAUGAGCUUAGGCUGGCUGAGCUGGUGCCACACAUAUGACCUUCAGCAAAAUUGUCAUGUCCCAGUCUCAUAAAGUGAUUAGUUCUUACUCCCUGUGUGGUUUCCCAGGCUCCUGGGAUGGGGGAUGGCUGCCAAUAGUCAGUCGUGGAUUCACUUAACAAGGUUAGCCCCGUAGAGUGACCUCAGUGCCCAGACAGCACUUCACAUACCUAAAUGCCCCUGACAUGUAAGCCUGACCAGUGUAUUCUUAGAUGAUAUUUUAUUUACUCUAAAA
rnacentral:lncRNA from 1 species